rnacentral:rRNA from 1 species
UACGAAGGGGGCUAGCGUUGCUCGGAAUCACUGGGCGUAAAGGGUGCGUAGGCGGGUCUUUAAGUCAGGGGUGAAAUCCUGGAGCUCAACUCCAGAACUGCCUUUGAUACUGAAGAUCUUGAGUUCGGGAGAGGUGAGUGGAACUGCGAGUGUAGAGGUGAAAUUCGUAGAUAUUCGCAAGAACACCAGUGGCGAAGGCGGCUCACUGGCCCGAUACUGACGCUGAGGCACUAAAGCGUGGGGAGCAAACAUG